rnacentral:rRNA from 1 species
GCCCUUUCAAAGGAGGCAGCAGGCGCGCAAUUACCCAAUCCUGACUCAGGGAGGUAGUGACAAGAAAUAACAAUAAACCGGCUUAUGCCGGUUUAAUUGGAAUGAGUACAAUUUAAACAUCUUAACGAGGAACAAUUGGAGGGCAAGUCUGGUGCCAGCAGCCGCGGUAAUUCCAGCUCCAAUAGCGUAUACUAAAGUUGUUGCAGUUAAAAAGCUCGUAGUUGGAUUUCUGUGGGGACGGAGCGGCCGGCCGCACAUCGCGGUUCGAGCUAGCGCUUUCCCUACAUCCUGCCGCGAACCGUGCUACCAUUAGUUUGGUGGCGCCGGGGAUCGGUUCGAUUACUUUUCAAAAAAAAAAGUGUUCAAAGCAGGGCCACAUGCCUUGAAUAAGUUAGCAUGGAAUAAUAAUUAAGGAAUUUGGUUUUAUUUUGUUGGUGUUCGGGAUUGAAGUAAUGAAUGAUAGGGACAGUUGGGGCGGUUUGUACUCCAAAGCGAGAGGUGAAAUUUUUAGACCUUCGGAAGACAAACAGCUGCGAAAGCGUUCCGCAAGGAUGUUCCCUUUGAUCAAGAACGAAAGUUGGGGGAUCGAAGACGAUCAGAUACCGUCGUAGUCUCAACUAUAAACUAUACCAGCUAGGGAUCGGCCAACGUUAUUUUAUACCGACUUGGUCGGCACCUUAUGAGAAAUCAAAGCAUCUGGGUUCCGGGGGGAGUAUGGUCGCAAGGCUGAAACUUAAAGGAAUUGACGGAAGGGCACCACCAGCCGUGGAGCCUGUGGCUUAAUUUGACUCAACACGGGAAAACUUACCAGGUCCAGACAUAGUAAGGAUUGACAGAUUGAUAGCUCUUUCUUGAUUCUGUGGGUGGUGGUGCAUGGCCGUUCUUAGUUGGUGGAGUGAUUUGUCUGGUUAAUUCCGUUAACGAACGAGACCCCAGCCUGCUAAAUAGCGCGCGUGAGCUUUGCUCGCGGCGAGCUUCUUAGAGGGACUAUGAUGCGCGAUAGCACAUGGAAGUUUGGGGCAAUAACAGGUCUGUGAUGCCCUUAGAUGUUCUGGGCCGCACACGGGCUACACUGGCGCCUGCAACGAGCAUAUCAGCUGGCCCGAGAGGGUCUUGGCUAAUCUUUUGAACCGGCGCCGUGCUUGGGAUUGACCUUUGCAAUUGUUGGUCAUGCAACGAGGAAUGCCUUGUAAACGCGAGUCAUCAGCUCGCAUUGAAUACGUCCCUGCCCUUUGUACACACCGCCCGUCGCUCCUACCGAUGAAUGCUCCGAUGAAAUUUUCGGAGAGCACCUGUGAACUUGGCUCUGCCUUGCGAACGGGAGGCUCAAAGUCACAUAAAUCUGAACAUAAAA